rnacentral:snoRNA from 1 species
ACUGAGGCCCAUCUAUCUCCUGCCUCAGCUGGACACUUCAUAGAGUCACUAGGUGGUUCCUUUACGCAUAGAACCAUGUGUUAGAUUUGUGGGGAAGAACUAUAAGACAGAG